GGAUAGCUCAGUUGGUGAGUGCGUUGCUGAGAACACAAAGGUUGCAGGUUCUAUCCCUGUAAGGGACG